rnacentral:rRNA from 1 species
CCCUUAGAUGUUCUGGGCUGCACGCGUGCUACAAUGGCGUUUCCAGCAAGUCUGCGAACCCGAGAGGGCCAGCGGAUCUUCGAAUUGGCGUCGUGAUCGGGACAGUCGAUUGCAAUCAUUUGACUCAAACGAGGAAUUCCUUGUAAUCGCGAUUCAUCAUAUCGCGCUGAAUACGUCCCUGCCCUUUGUACACACCGCCCGUCGCUCCUACCGAUUGAGCGAUCCGGUAAAUGUUUUGGAUUGGUGCCGGGGCGGCUAGCUGCCGGUCGCUACGAAAUUUUGUGAACCUUAUCGCUUAGAGGAAGGAAAAGUCGUAACA